rnacentral:rRNA from 1 species
GACGAACGCUGGCGGCGUGCUUAACACAUGCAAGUCGAACGGAAAGGCCCAGCUUUUGUGGGGUGCUAGAGUGGCGAACGGGUGUGUAACACGAGAGUAACCUGCCCAUGACUUUGGGAUAACUUCAGGACACUGGGGCUAAUACCGGAUAGGCGCUCCUGCUGCAUGGGGGGGGUGGGAAAGUUUCGGCGGUUGGGGAUGGACUCGCGGCUUAUCAGCUUGUUGGUGGGGUAGUGGCUUACCAAGGCUUUGACGGGUAGCCGGCCUGAGAGGGUGACCGGCCACACUGGGACUGAGAUACGGCCCAGACUCCUACGGGAGGCAGCAGUGGGGAAUAUUGCACAAUGGGCGGAAGCCUGAUGCAGCGACGCCGCGUGCGGGAUGACGGCCUUCGGGUUGUAAACCGCUUUCGCCUGUGACGAAGCGUGAGUGACGGUAAUGGGUGAAGAAGCACCGGCUAACUACGUG